rfam:Halobacteroidaceae bacterium T328-2 scaffold_462, whole genome shotgun sequence.
CCUCGAUAAAGGCAAACUUAUCGAAAGAUAAGGACGCAAAGCCCGGAGCCUAAAGCUUAUGCUAUGGUCGUCAAGCUACCGAA